rfam:Anaerolineae bacterium CG2_30_64_16 cg2_3.0_scaffold_6658_c, whole genome shotgun sequence.
AUGAGCGACGCCAAACUGCCGGAUGCGCAGGCGGGCUACGAGAAGAUGGCCACGUUCUUGCUGGCAGCUUUGGGGGGCGGCAACUACAUCCACCACGCCA